rnacentral:rRNA from 2 species
AUCGGGGUUGCGGACAGUGCCUGGUGGGUAGUUUGACUGGGGCGGUCUCCUCCCAAAGCGUAACGGAGGAGCACGAAGGUGGGCUAAUCACGGUUGGACAUCGUGAGGUUAGUGCAAUGGCAUAAGCCCGCUUGACUGCGAGAAUGACAAUUCGAGCAGGUGCGAAAGCAGGUCAUAGUGAUCCGGUGGUUCUGAAUGGAAGGGCCAUCGCUCAACGGAUAAAAGGUACUCCGGGGAUAACAGGCUGAUACCGCCCAAGAGUUCAUAUCGACGGCGGUGUUUGGCACCUCGAUGUCGGCUCAUCACAUCCUGGGGCUGAAGUCGGUCCCAAGGGUAUGGCUGUUCGCCAUUUAAAGUGGUACGCGAGCUGGGUUUAGAACGUCGUGAGACAGUUCGGUCCCUAUCUGCCGUGGGCGUUGGAGAAUUGAAAGGGGCUGCUCCUAGUACGAGAGGACCGGAGUGGACGAACCUCUGGUGUUCGGGUUGUGUCGCCAGACGCAUUGCCCGGUAGCUAAGUUCGGGAUCGAUAACCGCUGAAAGCAUCUAAGCGGGAAGCGAGCCUUGAGAUGAGUUCUCCCUGAUACUUUAAGUAUCCUAAAGGGUUGUCGUAGACUACGACGUUGAUAGGCAGGGUGUGUAAGCGUUGUGAGGCGUUGAGCUAACCUGUACUAAUUGCCCGUGAGGCUUAACCAU